CACCGCGGUUAUACGAGUAACCCUUAUUAACACUCUACCGGCGUAAAGAGUGGUUUAAGAACUUUCCCCCGAACUAAAGUUGAGACCCUAUUAAGCUGUUAUACGCUCUCAUGGGUGGAAUCACCAACAACGAAAGUAACUUUACAACACCGGAAAACCUUGACCCCACGACAGUUGAGCCC
rnacentral:rRNA from 1 species